GACGAACGCUGGCGGCGUGCUUAACACAUGCAAGUCGAACGGAAAGGCCUGCUUUCCCUUGUGGAUUGCGGGUACUCGAGUGGCGAACGGGUGAGUAACACGUGAGUGAUCUGCCCCCAACUUGGGUAUAAGCCUGGGAAACUGGGUCUAAUUCCCGAUAGGACUGCAGGGUGGUGCCUGUGGUGGAAAACGAUUCUCUAGUGGUUGGGGAUGAGCUCGCGGCCUAUCAGCUUGUUGGUGGGGUAAUGGCCUACCAAGGCGGCGACGGGUAGCCGGCCUGGGAGGGUGGACGGCCACAUUGGGACUGAGAUACGGCCCAGACUCCUACGGGAGGCAGCAGUGGGGAAUAUUGCACAAUGGGCGGAAGCCUGAUGCAGCGACGCCGCGUGGGGGAUGACGGCCUUCGGGUUGUAAACUCCUUUCGACCGCGAGGAAGCCACCUGGUUGGAAGGGUGGUGACGGUAGUGGUAGAAGAAGCACCGGCUAACUACGUG
rnacentral:rRNA from 1 species